rnacentral:lncRNA from 1 species
UUCUUUAUGAAUGUCAGUAUUUUAUUGGCAGGAAUUUGCAGCUAUAUAGUAUCUUGACAGUCUAUACAUUUUUCUCUAUGCUAAAAUUUCAUUUUGUGUUGCAUUAGCAGAAGACAUUGUCUAGAUUGUUUUCACCUGUCAUGGAUACUCGAACAAUGCAAUGGCAAUCUGAGAACUCAACUCAACCCGUUCUUGUAUGGAUGCCUCUUUUUUUCUCCUCACUCAGGACUCAGGAGAGCAGAAGACUGUUGACAAUGAUGAGAAAAUCAGAAUAAAGAGGACAACAGUAUGUACGUCUAUUUUCUUCUUUGGUAUCAACUCUACUUGGCUUCUGGUAAUCGUGUUUGGUACAUUCCUGGCUUUGUUAUAGAUUCAAUAAUAUCGUGGAGAUCCCAGCUUCUUCAAGUCGUCAAGUCAACUAUUCAAAUCAUUGAUCUAUUUUUUCACUUAAGAUAUAUCACGUCUUCAAGUACAUGGAGUUUGCAUGAAUUUAAUUUGUGAUCAAUUGCCUCA